GAUGAACGCUGGCGGCGUGCCUAAUACAUGCAAGUCGAGCGAACGGACGAGAAGCUUGCUUCUCUGAUGUUAGCGGCGGACGGGUGAGUAACACGUGGAUAACCUACCUAUAAGACUGGGAUAACUUCGGGAAACCGGAGCUAAUACCGGAUAAUAUUUUGAACCGCAUGGUUCAAAAGUGAAAGACGGUCUUGCUGUCACUUAUAGAUGGAUCCGCGCUGCAUUAGCUAGUUGGUAAGGUAACGGCUUACCAAGGCAACGAUGCAUAGCCGACCUGAGAGGGUGAUCGGCCACACUGGAACUGAGACACGGUCCAGACUCCUACGGGAGGCAGCAGUAGGGAAUCUUCCGCAAUGGGCGAAAGCCUGACGGAGCAACGCCGCGUGAGUGAUGAAGGUCUUCGGAUCGUAAAACUCUGUUAUUAGGGAAGAACAUAUGUGUAAGUAACUGUGCACAUCUUGACGGUACCUAAUCAGAAAGCCACGGCUAACUACGUGCCAGCAGCCGCGGUAAUACGUAGGUGGCAAGCGUUAUCCGGAAUUAUUGGGCGUAAAGCGCGCGUAGGCGGUUUUUUAAGUCUGAUGUGAAAGCCCACGGCUCAACCGUGGAGGGUCAUUGGAAACUGGAAAACUUGAGUGCAGAAGAGGAAAGUGGAAUUCCAUGUGUAGCGGUGAAAUGCGCAGAGAUAUGGAGGAACCCCAGUGGCGAAGGCGACUUUCUGGUCUGUAACUGACGCUGAUGUGCGAAAGCGUGGGGAUCAAACAGGAUUAGAUACCCUGGUAGUCCACGCCGUAAACGAUGAGUGCUAAGUGUUAGGGGGUUUCCGCCCCUUAGUGCUGCAGCUAACGCAUUAAGCACUCCGCCUGGGGAGUACGACCGCAAGGUUGAAACUCAAAGGAAUUGACGGGGACCCGCACAAGCGGUGGAGCAUGUGGUUUAAUUCGAAGCAACGCGAAGAACCUUACCAAAUCUUGACAUCCUUUGACAACUCUAGAGAUAGAGCUUUCCCCUUCGGGGGACAAAGUGACAGGUGGUGCAUGGUUGUCGUCAGCUCGUGUCGUGAGAUGUUGGGUUAAGUCCCGCAACGAGCGCAACCCUUAAGCUUAGUUGCCAUCAUUAGGUUGGGCACUCUAAGUUGACUGCCGGUGACAAACCGGAGGAAGGUGGGGAUGACGUCAAAUCAUCAUGCCCCUUAUGAUUUGGGCUACACACGUGCUACAAUGGACAAUACAAAGGGCAGCGAAACCGCGAGGUCAAGCAAAUCCCAUAAAGUUGUUCUCAGUUCGGAUUGUAGUCUGCAACUCGACUACAUGAAGCUGGAAUCGCUAGUAAUCGUAGAUCAGCAUGCUACGGUGAAUACGUUCCCGGGUCU
rnacentral:rRNA from 1 species